GACGGAGGGUGCAAGCGUUGCUCGGAAUCAUUGGGCGUAAAGGGUGCGUAGGCGGCUUUUUAAGUCUGACGUGAAAGCCCAGGGCUUAGCCUUGGAAGUGCGCCAGAAACUGGAAGGCUAGAGUGCCGGAGGGGAGAGUGGAAUUCCUGGUGUAGCGGUGAAAUGCGUAGAUAUCGAGAGGAACACCUGCGGCGAAGGCGGGUUGCUGGGCUGAUACUGACGCUGAGGCGCGAAAGCUAGGGGAGCGAACGGG
rnacentral:rRNA from 1 species